GCACUGCUGACGAGUCCCAAACAGGACGAAACAACAAUCCAGUAC
rnacentral:hammerhead_ribozyme from 1 species